rnacentral:rRNA from 1 species
AAGAGUACGUGAAACCGUUCAGGGGUAAACCUGUGAAACCUAAAAAAAGGAAAGAGGAGAUUCUUCGUCAGUGUAUUCAGUAUUAAUGCAGGCUAUGAUGUGAUGAUAGAAUCCUCGUGGUCACUAAAUUAUACUUGCUUGUAUUAUUUUUGCUGGGUAUAUCGGCGCGCACUUCUCCUCUAGUAGAACGUCGCAACCCGUUGGAUGUUUAUUUAUGGCCUGAAUGGUAGCCUUUGAUAUUUUUAAUAUUAAAGACCUUUGGUGUUUUGAUAAACUGUCUGGCGGUACACAUAAAGAUAUUGAGCCGCAAUUAUUUGCGUUAGACUUGCCGCAAGUUAGGCUUUAUUCUAGUAGUGCGGAUCUAAUGCCGUCGCUAGUCAAAGUCUACUGUUAGCUGUGUAAUGUCUUUAACUGGCUUAUUUAUCGGUUAGCGAUGCUACUGCUUUGGGUAC